rnacentral:ncRNA from 1 species
UAUAUAGAGGCGCGGAACCAAUCAGUCGCCUGCCCGAGACGCUCAAACGUCGCUGACGGCAUGCAAAAGGUGCUUCCGCCGAAAUGGUCCGGUGUUUGAGAGCCGGUACUGUUGGGCGUACAGAGAAAAUCUGUACGACUGUCGCAAUAUGUUUUGCGGAGUGCUAUA